rfam:Myotis brandtii contig207669, whole genome shotgun sequence.
GCCUAUGUGGCUCAGUGGUUGAGCCUUGACCCAUGAACCAGGAGGUCACGGUUCGAUUCCGGUCAAGGGCA